UGAGGAAUAUUGGGCAAUGGGCGCAAGCCUGACCCAGCCAUGCCGCGUGAAGGAUGACGGCCCUAUGGGUUGUAAACUGCUUUUCCAGGGGGAGAAUUUUUCUGUCGUGACAGGAAUUGACGGUACCCUGGGAAUAAGCAUCGGCUAACUCCGUGCCAGCAGCCGCGGUAAUACGGAGGAUGCGAGCGUUAUCCGGAUUUAUUGGGUUUAAAGGGUGCGUAGGCGGAUUGAUAAGUCAGUGGUGAAAACCUGCAGCUUAACUGUAGACUUGCCGUUGAUACUGUCAGUCUUGAGUGUGGUCAAGGUAGGCGGAAUGUGUAAUGUAGCGGUGAAAUGCUUAGAUAUUACACAGAACACCGAUUGCGAAGGCAGCUUACUGGGCCAUUACUGACGCUGAUGCACGAAAGCGUGGGGAUCGAACAG
rnacentral:rRNA from 1 species